rnacentral:lncRNA from 1 species
GAAGCCUAGUACCUAGUUGAACUGGGACAUGAGCGGAUCGUUCCACUGUCUCUAGAAACUGAGUUUUUUCCUAGUGCAUCAUAUGGUGACAAGUGCGGUCAUAGAAUGGCAGAGGCCGGGUCUAUGGAGCCUUGCACCAAGGGAAGUGGACUCGACACAGGUCUGGGAAAUUGAUGGGGACGGCUAACAAAUGAAGCGACCCUUCGUGGUGCGCGGAUGUCGUGGGAUUAGGUUCGCCAUGCAUGGUUAAGAAAUUCGAAUCGAUUCGUCUGCCUCUCACAGUUUGGGACUACUUGAUCGCUAUGCUACACUGAGUAAGAAUGGAACUUGAUGAUGAUCUUAAUAUUGAUGCUUGCCAUAAAUUGCUUGGAAACUAUGCUUGUUUAGUAUAGUUGCUAACUUAGAUGGGUAAAUGAACUUAGAACUGGUGGUUAAAAUAUUGAAAGUAAG